AUGAACGCUGGCGGCGUGCUUAACACCUGCAAGUCGAACGCAACACCUUAUUUGAUUUUCUUCGGAACUGAAGAUUUGGUGAUUGAGUGGCGGACGGGUGAGUAACGCGUGGGUAACCUGCCCUGUACAGGGGGAUAACAGUCAGAAAUGACUGCUAAUACCGCAUAAGGCCACAGCACCGCAUGGUGCAGGGGUAAAAACUCCGGUGGUACAGGAUGGACCCGCGUCUGAUUAGCUGGUUGGUGAGGUAACGGCUCACCAAGGCGACGAUCAGUAGCCGGCUUGAGAGAGUGAACGGCCACAUUGGGACUGAGACACGGCCCAAACUCCUACGGGAGGCAGCAGUGGGGAAUAUUGCACAAUGGGGGAAACCCUGAUGCAGCGACGCCGCGUGAGUGAAGAAGUAUUUCGGUAUGUAAAGCUCUAUCAGCAGGGAAGAAAAUGACGGUACCUGACGAAGAAGCCCCGGCUAACUACGUG
rnacentral:rRNA from 1 species